UACGGAGGGUGCAAGCGUUGUCCGGAAUCACUGGGCGUAAAGGGCGCGUAGGUGGUCCCUUAAGCGGGUGGUGAAAGCUCAGGGCUCAACUCUGAGUCGGCCAUGCGAACUGGGGGGACUGGAGCACUGUAGAGGCAGGUGGAAUUCCGGGUGUAGCGGUGGAAUGCGUAGAGAUCCGGAAGAACACCGGUGGCGAAGGCGGCCUGCUGGGCAGUUGCUGACACUGAGGCGCGACAGCGUGGGGGAGCAAACAGG
rnacentral:rRNA from 1 species